rnacentral:rRNA from 1 species
CCUACGGGGGACAGCAGUGAGGAAUAUUGGUCAAUGGGCGGGAGCCUGAACCAGCCAAGCCGCGUGAGGGAAGAAGGUACAGCGUAUCGUAAACCUCUUUUGUCAGGGAACAAAGUCGGGGACUAGUGCCCGUUUGAGGGUACCUGAAGAAAAAGCAUCGGCUAACUCCGUGCCAGCAGCCGCGGUAUUACGGAGGAUGCGAGCGUUAUCCGGUUUUAUUGGGUUUAAAGGGGGCGCAGGCGGCCUGUUAAGUCAGUGGUAAAAGUCCGGGGCUCAACCGCGGCGAGCCGUUGAAACUGGCGGGCUGGAGUUGGAUAGAGGUACGCGGAAUGCGUGGUGUAGCGGUGAAAUGCUUAGAUAUCGCGCAGAACCCCGAUUGCGAAGGCAGCGUACCGGCUCCAAACUGACGCUGAGGCACGAAAGCGUGGGUAUCGAACAGGAUUAGAUACCCGGGUAGUC